GGAGGAAAGUAGGGGAUCGAAAGACCUUGCGCUUUGGGAGCGGCCGAUGUCUGAUUAGCUAGUUGGUGGGGUAAAGGCCUACCAAGGCGACGAUCAGUAGUUGGUCUGAGAGGACGACCAGCCACACUGGGACUGAGACACGGCCCAGACUCCUACGGGAGGCAGCAGUGGGGAAUUUUGGACAAUGGGCGCAAGCCUGAUCCAGCAAUGCCGCGUGAGUGAAGAAGGCCUUCGGGUUGUAAAGCUCUUUCAGUCGAGAAGAAAAAGCUGCAGUGAAUAACUGUAGUUCAUGACGGUAUCGACAGAAGAAGCACCGGCUAACUACGUGCCAGCAGCCGCGGUAAUACGUAGGGUGCGAGCGUUAAUCGGAAUUACUGGGCGUAAAGGGUGCGCAGGCGGCUUUGUAAGUCAGAUGUGAAAUCCCCGGGCUUAACCUGGGAAUUGCGUUUGAAACUACAAGGCUAG
rnacentral:rRNA from 1 species